rnacentral:rRNA from 1 species
CCUACGGGUGGCAGCAGUGAGGAAUAUUGGUCAAUGGGCGUAAGCCUGAACCAGCCAAGUCGCGUGAGGGAUGAAGGUUCUAUGGAUCGUAAACCUCUUUUAUAAGGGAAUAAAGUGUGGGACGUGUCCUGUUUUGUAUGUACCUUAUGAAUAAGGAUCGGCUAACUCCGUGCCAGCAGCCGCGGUAAUACGGAGGAUCCGAGCGUUAUCCGGAUUUAUUGGGUUUAAAGGGUGCGUAGGCGGCCUUUUAAGUCAGCGGUGAAAGUCUGUGGCGCAACCACAGACUUGCUGUUGAAACUGGGAGGCUUGAGUAUGUUUGAGGCAGGCGGAAUGCGGGGUGUAGCGGUGAAAUGCUUAGAUAUCACGCAGAACCCCGAUUGCGAAGGCAGCCUGCCAAGCCAUGACUGACGCUGAUGCACGAAAGCGUGGGGAUCAAACAGGAUUAGAUACCCCUGUAGUC